rnacentral:rRNA from 1 species
AUUGAACGCUGGCGGCAUGCUUUACACAUGCAAGUCGAACGGUAACAGGCCUUCGGGUGCUGACGAGUGGCGCACGGGUGAGUAAUGCAUCGGAACGUACCCAGAGGUGGGGGAUAACGCAGCGAAAGCUGUGCUAAUACCGCAUGUGAUCUGAGGAUGAAAGCGGGGGACCGAGCAGCAAUGUUUGGCCUCGCGCCUUUGGAGCGGCCGAUGUCGGAUUAGCUAGUUGGUGGGGUAAAGGCCUACCAAGGCGACGAUCCGUAGCUGGUCUGAGAGGACGACCAGCCACACUGGGACUGAGACACGGCCCAGACUCCUACGGGAGGCAGCAGUGGGGAAUUUUGGACAAUGGGCGCAAGCCUGAUCCAGCAAUGCCGCGUGCGGGAAGAAGGCCUUCGGGCUGUAAACCGCUUUUGGCAGGAACGAAACGGUGUCCGCUAAUACCGGGCGCUAAUGACGGUACCUGCAGAAUAAGCACCGGCUAACUACGUG